UUGACAUCAGCUGAGCCUAUUUUAUGCCAGACUUGAGAAAUACUGGACUACGGAGCCCCUAAAGGGACAUGAGGGAGAAAAAAAUAGAUGGGUGAAAAGAAAAACAUAAAUACUUUUGCGUUCCCCCACAAAACCUUUGCAUUCCCCCAAGAAAUAUUCGGAGUGGAAAAAAGUACUUCCAGUCAACAACCAAGAAAGAAGAAGAGAGCUUCGCGGCCAUUUGUAAUAAAGACGUGCCAUGGAGGACAAUCUUCUAAACUUUCUAUGGUUGAAAGAAGUCCCAGAAGAGGACAUAACUCAUAUGAAAAGUGACAAGCUACAAGGAGCCAACGAGUGUUGCUGUCAUCUGAUCAACUGGUAGAAGACGUCUAGCUGAACAGAUUCCCUGAUCUACAGCAGUUAGAGACAACAGUAUCUUUAAUAGCAGGUAAAGACGCAUUUCAACCAUGACAAUGGAUCUGUGUCUUGUCAGAACUCUGCAGUGUCCCACAAUACAGAAAUAUCAAUUAGGUCACAGCAAGAGAAAAUUGACUUUCAGACAUCAAAUAUUUUGGUCAACAGGCUUGUAUAAAUAAUGUCUCUUAAUACCACGAUUUGGCAACACAUAACAAUAAGGUAUUAAACAGUGUUUCACUAUUUGCAUAACAUAGCCGCUCAGAAGAGGUUUUGAGGUGUCUUCAGAGACACCAGCUUACUGUACCAGGUCACUCUGACCAGAAGUGAGUGCAACAUUGCUGGUUAUCUGCCAAAUAUAUUUCCACCCUGCUAAGAUGAUUAUAGCUUAUCUGACAUCAGCCAUCUUGAUAGAUAUUACUAUACACUUUAAAGCUCUGCCAUUAAUGCCAUUAGAGUUGGUCUUAAUGUUGGAUUAACAAAAAGGUGAACUCUUCUGGUUGAAGUUGUUCUCUCAUUGACUGAGAUCUUUUGCAUGAACUGUAAUACCAUCAAUGAUAUUUUCAAUGUUCCUGCUAAAACCUUGUACAUUACAUUUAAACAGAUGGACAUUUGCUGGUCUCAGUUAAUUUAUUUUCACAGCUCAAACCCCCUGAACAAAGUAAGAUGUGUUGAAAUGCUGAUCUAUAGGAUUUCAAUAAAAAGAUUGCAUAGGAUUUAUGCAUUCCUUGUCUACUUUGGUUACAACUUAGAACACACUCCAAACAUGCAAAGCCACUUUUGCCUGCCCCUUGUUUGACCAUGCAGAUGUAUAAAUUAUGUUAACAAAGACGUGGUUUCAGAUUUAACUUCUGAAAAAGGUUCUAUUUACAUUUUAAGAGUCAGACAGUCUACAUUAUAGCAGAAACAAGGCCAAUGCACUCCAUGUGUUUAAUUAAGUAUUUGGCUGUCCAUGAGUUGCUCAUCCUAUCUUUGAAGGUAGGUUGCAGUAGAUUCUUGGAGACGUCAGUGAACCAUGUCAGCCUCUGGGUUUGCAGGAUGUCCAGAUGCAGGACUAAUGCAGUUGUGCCUUGGCAUUGAUUCUGCAAGUCUCUGAAACUCCACUGGAGAGAUGAACACCAUUCUUACA